rnacentral:rRNA from 1 species
AUAUUGCACAAUGGGGGAAACCCUGAUGCAGCAACGCCGCGUGAGUUAAGAAGUAUUUCGGUAUGUAUAGCUCUAUCAGCAGGGAAGAAGAAAGACGGUACCUGACUAAGAAGCCCCGGCUAACUACGUGACUGCAGCCGCGGUAAUCCGUAGGGGGCAUGCGUUAUCCGGAUUUACUGGGUGUAAAGGGAUCGUAGACGGCUGUGCAAGUCUGAAGUGAAAGCCCGUGGCUCAACCGCGGAACUGCUUUGGAAACUGUGUAGCUUGAGUACUGGAGAGGCAGGCGGAAUUCCUAGUGUAGCGGUGAAAUGCGUAGAUAUUAGGAGGAACACCAGUGGCGAAGGCGGCCUGCUGGACAGAAACUGACGUUGAGGCUCGAAAGCGUGGGGAGCAAACAGG